rnacentral:rRNA from 1 species
CCUACGGGGCGCAGCAGUGAGGAAUAUUGGUCAAUGGGAGAGAUCCUGAACCAGCCAAGCCGCGUAAGGGAAGACGGCCCUAUGGGUUGUAAACCUCUUUUGUCGGAGAACAAAACCCGGGACGUGUCCCGGACUGCGUGUAUCCGAAGAAAAAGCAUCGGCUAACUCCGUGCCAGCAGCCGCGGUAAUACGGAGGAUGCGAGCGUUAUCCGGAUUUAUUGGGUUUAAAGGGUGCGUAGGCGGGCUUUUAAGUCAGCGGUAAAAAUUCGGGGCUCAACCCCGUCCGGUCGUUGAAACUGGGGGCC